rnacentral:tRNA from 4 species
GGGUCGUUAGCUCAGUCGGUAGAGCAGUUGACUUUUAAUCAAUUGGUCGCUGGUUCGAAUCCAGCACGGCCCACCA